rnacentral:rRNA from 1 species
AAUAUUGGACAAUGGGCGAAAGCCUGAUCCAGCCUUGUCGCGUGGGUGAAAAAGGUCUCCGGAUUUUAAAGCACUUUAAGUUGGGGGGAAGGGAAGUAAGUGAAUACCUUGCUGUUUUGACUUUACCGACAGAAUAAUCACCGCGUAACUUCGUGCCAGCAGCCGCGGUAAUACGUAGGGUGCAAGCGUUAAUCGGAAUUACUGGGAGUAAGGCGCGAGUAGGUGGUUUGUUAAGUUGGAAGUGAAAGCCCCGGGCUCAAGCUGGGAACUGCUUUCAAAACUAGCAAGCUAGAGUAUGGAAGAGGGUGGUGGAAUUUCCUGUGUAGCGGUGAAAUGAGUAGAUAUAGGAAGGAACACCAGUGGCGAAGGCGACCACCUGGGCUAAUACUGACACUGAGGUGCGAAAGCGUGGGGAGCAAACAGG